rnacentral:sRNA from 1 species
GUAAAGAACAAGUGGCACGCUCCAGUGAUUACCUCGAUGGGCAACUGACCUUUCGCGAGCGUCUGCUGGUGCGUCAUCACUUGAUGUUCUGCCCCAACUGCCGCCGCUUUAUCCGUCAAAUGCGCCUGAUGCAGGCGAUGCUCAAGAGGAUGCCGCAGGCACCGGUGCCAGAAGUGGAUGCCCUGGCCGAACGGCUGGCUGCCGAGCGGCGCAAGGGCGGGUAGCGGAGUUAUCAGAACUU